ACUGGGAUAACAGAGGGAAACUUCUGAUAAUACUGGAUAAGUUAGUAUAUCGCAUGAUAUGCAAAUGAAAGCUACGGCACUAAAGGAGAGCUUUGCGUCCAAUUAGCUAGUUGGUAAGGUAAGAGCUUACCAAGGCGAUGAUAGGUAGCCGGCCUGAGAGGGUGGACGGCCACAAGGGGACUGAGAUACGGCCCUUACUCCUACGGGAGGCAGCAGCU
rnacentral:rRNA from 1 species